rnacentral:rRNA from 1 species
CACGUAGGGGGCGAGCGUUGUCCGGAUUUAUUGGGCGUAAAGAGCUCGUAGGCGGCUCGGUAAGUCGGGUGUGAAAACUCUAGGCUCAACCUAGAGACGCCACCCGAUACUGCUGUGGCUAGAGUCCGGUAGGGGAGCAUGGAAUUCCUGGUGUAGCGGUGAAAUGCGCAGAUAUCAGGAGGAACACCAGUGGCGGAAGGCGGUGGUCUGGG